rnacentral:lncRNA from 1 species
UUUCUCCACAUUCUUCAAGGUCUACUUUGAUGGGAGUUUUUAUAUUUCAAAAGGUUUGAUCCAUCCUGCAAGUGAGUAUGUGCCUGCCUGUGACCGUAUGAGGCUUUCUGUGGUGGUGGUGAUGGGGUGGUUGAGGAUGCGGUGAUGAUGGUGUUGUUGGUGGUGAUAGACCUGAGGGGAUGGGUAGUGAUGGAGCUGGUGUUAAUGGUGUGGGUGGCAGUUGUGAUGACAUGGUGUUGCUCGUAGUGCUGGUGUGGUGCUGGUGCUGAUAGUGAGGGUGCUGAUGAUACUGGUGGUGGUAGUUGUGGAGAGGAAAGUACUGCUAGUGUGGCUGGGUUGGUGAUGGGGCUGUGCUGCUUCCAGAUCACUCCAGAUCAUAACAGGCUUCUGGAUCAUUUUCCCCACCUCCAUGAACUCCACACCCGGAAGGUCUGCCUGGAAAUGCUAGCCAUGUGCGAUGUGUGCGCAUGGACUCGGCAUUUCCAGAAGUCUUCUUUCAUGAAUGUCUUUACAAAGUGUGAUAAGAAAUAUAAUGAAGGGAAGGAAGCUCUCCUGCUGUCAUCCCAGGCUCCUAGGCCAGAGAAGGUGAGCCAGUCCCAGCACCCAGAAGGAAGCUCCCCCGCUGCCAUCCCAAGCUCCUAGGGCAGAGAAAGUGAGCCGUGUGGGCUCCAGAAGCACCCCCUCCCGUGAAAAUGAGAAGACAUGUAAACAAGUCUCAAAAACAGACUUCUGGAUCACCUACAGCAACCCCAAAGGGAAACGAGAUGGAACAAUCUGAUACUCAAUCACCUGGACUCUCUGAACUGGCAACAAAAGAGGAUCUGGGAAAAAUGAAAUCAGAAAUAAUUACUCAGAUAACA